rnacentral:misc_RNA from 1 species
AAGUCGUAACAAGGUUUCCGUAGGUGAACCUGCGGAAGGAUCAUUAACGAAUAGUUCUUCGGAACAUUUCAUCCUUACACACCUGUGAAUUUUUAAAAAGAUACUUUGCUUUGGUCAGACUUUUGUUAGUUUGGCCAGAGGUAUACAAACUCCAAAUUUUAUUUUUAAACAUGAGUCUGAAUUGAAGAAAAAGAAUAAAUUAUUCAAAACUUUCAACAACGGAUCUCUUGGUUCUC